AUUGAACGCUGGCGGAAUGCUUUACACACGCAAGUCGAACGGCAGCACGGACUUCGGUCUGGUGGCGAGUGGCGAACGGGUGAGUAAUGUAUCGGAACGUGCCCAGUCGUGGGGGAUAACGUAGUGAAAAUUACGCUAAUACCGCAUACGAUCUAUGGAUGAAAGCGGGGGAUCGCAAGACCUCGCGCGAUUGGAGCGGCCGAUAUCAGAUUAGGUAGUUGGUGGGGUAAAGGCCCACCAAGCCAACGAUCUGUAGCUGGUCUGAGAGGACGAGCAGCCACACUGGAACUGAGACACGGGCCAGACUCCUACGGGAGGCAGCAGUGGGGAAUUUUGGACAAUGGGCGAAAGCCUGAUCCAGCCAUUCCGCGUGCAGGAUGAAGGCCCUCGGGUUGUAAACUGCUUUUGUACAGAACGAAAAGGUUUCUACUAAUACUAGGAGCUCAUGACGGUACUGUAAGAAUAAGCACCGGCUAACUACGUGCCAGCCGCCGCCGUAA
rnacentral:rRNA from 1 species